rnacentral:tRNA from 2 species
GCUCCAUUGGCGCAAUUGGUUAGCGCGCGGUACUUAUAAGCAGUAUUUGCGUAGUCAUGCCGAGGUUGUGAGUUCGAGCCUCACAUGGAGCA